rnacentral:rRNA from 1 species
CGCUAAGCCUAAAUAUUCCCUGGUGACCGAUAGCGGAUAGUACCGUGAGGGAAUGGUGAAAAGUACCGCGGGAGCGGAGUGAAAUAGUACCUGAAACCGUGUGCCUACAAGCCGUGGGAGCGUCGGAGCAAGGCUUGCCUUGCUCUCGUGACUGCGUGCCUUUUGAAGAAUGAGCCUGCGAGUUUGCGGUGUGUUGCGAGGUUAACCCGGGUGGGGUAGCCGUAGCGAAAGCGAGUCCGAACAGGGCGUUUCAGUAGCACGCUCAAGACCC